rnacentral:piRNA from 1 species
GUUACCUCACUCAGGAUGAUAUCCUCCAG